CACCAAGCUCUGUUUGGGGUAGUUUCGGCGAAACUACCCCAAACCAGUUUCACCAAAUGGGGUAGGUUCUGAUUGGCCACUUCCAAACUACCCCAUGGGGUAGUUUUUAUUUUACCCCAAAUUUGCCAUGCAAACAGAUGCUCACGGUCCGUGAGCAUCUGAACAAGCCAAUCAAUCAGCUGUUUGCCGGCAAUUCUACCCCAAAUAUCCGACCAAAAUUACGGCUGACAUUCGUGGGUGACCUUGAAUACCGGAUGAGGAAGCCUUGAAAUAUAAACAAUAAAAAUGCACAUUCUUCACGGUGGUUAUCUACAUGCUGACGAUGUGUCUUGUUGAAAUGAUCAUAGUACUUCAACUUGUGUGAUCUAUUCAAAUUAUCAUUCGAGGUAUCUAUAUGCCUUACGGUCAAUGUGCAAAUAUCCAGCAAAUGUCAAGACGCUAACAACUGAAAUAAAAAUAAAAAUGCCGUACCUAAAUCAGCAAGAGAAUGUCGUGCAUACCUAGGUAAUUCUCAUUAGAAAUAAAAAGCAAAUGGUGCAAGUAAUGCGUAAUAAGCAGUUGUUAAAAAUACCAGGCCAAGUGGAUUCGAUACUUUCCAUAUCUAUUUUUUUAUUUUUGUCGCUGUUGUGCAUAUCUCAAUAAAGUUGCGUUAAAUGGGCCGUGCAUCUGUAGGUACUGUAUGUAUUUUGUAAUGCACAUUAGAAAUAAAAGCAUCUGGUGCAAAAGAUUCGUAGUUAAAAGUCGCCAAAAAUACCAAGCAAGGUGUAUUCGAUACUAGUAAAACAUGCACUAAUUUACUGAAACAUUCUAAUUAUAAAACACUAGGUAAACAUCUAAUCUAAUCUAAAUCAUCUAAUUUAAACCACGGUGACUAUAAAUAAUUUAAACAUCUAAUAUAAACAUCAAAUUUACUAAAACACUAAUUAAUUUUAAAACAUUCGAUACUAUUCGAUAAUAAAACAUGCCAUUGUUCUGUAACCUAUCCAUCAAGAUUCGCGGUUGUGCAUUGCCAUUCCUUUCUCAAUAAAGUUGUGAAUCUUGGAAACUGAGGUGCCAUUGUG